AAACCAUGCAUCGGGCAUUUGCAUAGAAAAUCCUUUAAUCGCUCUCAAGCUUCAUAUAAGUUUUUAUCCUCCAUUUGCUUGAAUAAUGUGAGAUCAUUCCUCAACUU